rnacentral:rRNA from 1 species
CCUACGGGUGGCAGCAGUAGGGAAUAUUGCUCAAUGGGGGAAACCCUGAAGCAGCGACGCCGCGUGGGGGAUGAAGGUUUUCGGAUUGUAAACUCCUGUUGUUAGAGAAGAUAAUGACGAUAUCUAACGAAUAAGCACCGGCUAACUCCGUGCCAGCAGCCGCGGUAAUACGGAGGGUGCAAGCGUUACUCGGAAUCACUGGGCGGAAAGAGCGCGGAGGCGGGAUAGCAAGUCAGAUGUGAAAUCCCAUGGCUUAACCAUAGAAUUGCAUUGGAAACUGGUAUUCUAGAGGGUAGGAGAGGUAGGUGGAAUUCUUGGUGUAGGGGUAAAAUCCGUAGAGAUAAAGAGGAAUACUCAUUGCGAAGGCGACCUGCUAGAACAUAACUGACGCUGAUGCGCGAAAGCGUGGGGAGCAAACAGGAUUAGAUACCCCAGUAGUC